rnacentral:rRNA from 1 species
AACGAACGCUGGCGGCGUGCCUAACACAUGCAAGUCGAGCGCGAAUGGAGCAAUCCUAGUAGAGCGGCGCACGGGUGCGUAACACGUGGGUAAUCUGCCUGGAAGACUGGAAUAACCUGCCGAAAGGCUGGCUAAUGCCGGAUAAGCCUACGGGUUCUUCGGAACUUGAAGGAAAAGGUGGCCUCUGUAUACAAGCUAUCACUUCUAGAUGAGCCCGCGGCCCAUCAGCUAGUUGGCGGGGUAAUGGCCCACCAAGGCUACGACGGGUAGCUGGUCUGAGAGGACGAUCAGCCACACUGGAACUGAGACACGGUCCAGACUCCUACGGGAGGCAGCAGUGGGGAAUUUUGCACAAUGGGCGAAAGCCUGAUGCAGCAACGCCGCGUGUGUGAUGAAGGUCUUCGGAUCGUAAAGCACUUUCGACCGGGAAGAAACCUAGUUGGCUAACAUCCAACAGCUUGACUGUACCGGGA